GUAGUUUUAACUCUGCGCUCGAACGGCGCGCUCUGAGGCCGCUCGGUUGACGCAAUAACACGAAAGGUGACUUUCAGGCAUCGCUUGGAUCGAUUCGGCGACGACAUUUAUUUACGUUUGAUUUUUUUAAAAUAGUCGCUUCGCACGAGUAGAUUCUAUUGAUCCGAGUUCGACGGUCGGUGGAAAUAGAAAUAUUAUUUUCAAAGUUUUCGAGUUUCGUGAGCAUGGAAUACGAUAAUGAAAUUAGUUCGAGCGAGGAUGAGUUUGAUUUUUCGUUAUUGAAUAACGAAAUUAUUUUUAUUCCUGAAGGAAUUGACGAUAGAGGGAAGGAAGAUGAAAAUAGAGAGCAGUAAGUAAGAAGAACAUAGAACGAACGAAAGAUAAGAAUAAUAAGAGAUUGGAAACCGAGGAUGCAUCUUGGUAAUCACUUUAUUAUUAAAAUAUAAUAUAAGAUUUUAAUAUUCGACAAAUAUUUUCUUUCUUUAUACGUAAACACACAUAAAAUAUUAGAAUAUAAAAAC